UCACGCUUUUGGUUGACAGUGGACAAGUCGCGAGGCGCAUCAGAGGUAUUCAGAUUUAGAUGAUCACUAAACCUAUAAGCCAUAAAGAAAUGGGAGAUGCAGAAUGGACGGGCUUUGGCCUUCAGGAGGGAUAAACCCGCUCCAAGGAAACGGAAGUGACGUCGUGACCUCUGUCAGAAGGUCAGAGUGAGCCGUUCAAAGGACCAGUCUCACAUUUUCCAGCAGAACUGAAGCACGGAAACGCCUCCAUUGUCAUCAGAAAGACGACAGCAGCCAACAGUGGAAUCUACAGCUGUUCUUUUCCACGUCUGCAGCCUCCUCAGACAUUCUCCUUUCAGCUUGAUGUUGCUGCCACUCCAAAGCCAUCUGUCAGGACUCUCACAGCCACCGCAGACUGGUCUUAUCUGCAGUGUGAGGUUCCUGGUGCUUCUCUAAACACUAAAGCAGAGUGGCAAAACAACGAUGGAAACAUCCUGGAAGCUGAGGAGGAACGAGUCCCAGAGGAAGACCACGUCUUCAUCUCUCUCUACACUAAGGUGACCAGGACAGACCUCUAAGUGUGUGGUCUCUCAGGAGGACAUCAAGCAUCGGGUCUCUGCUCAGACCUUUGUGUUCAUCUGUGAGAGCAAGUGUGAGGACUCAUACAGCACAGGGGCCAUGGUUAUUGCUGGCAUAGUUUCAUUUGUUUCGGGAGCUUUAAUUCUUAUUGCAGUUCAGAAGGUAUUGCUUGCACAUGGGAAGCCCAGGGAAAUACAAAGCAAUAUAGAUCCUUCAAAGCAGCCACUGAGGUCAGCUGAGUGAUAGCUGUGUGAACAAUCUGAGUUUCCUGAGUGUGAGGACAUUGAGGCCGCUCCUCACCUUCAGAAACCUUUCUGAGGAGUCAGGUUAGAAUUAGGUUUGGUUGCUCGCCGGUGCAUUGGCUCAGAUAUUUAAUAUUAAACUCUCUUUAUAAACCUAAAACAACCUUAACCCUUUGUUUCCACACAGCUUUGUUUUGUGAUUGUAAUUCUGUAAAGUAUACAGAGAGAGCCCCCUAGUGUUCAAGGCAAGGAACCUGAAGCGUUGCAGAGACAAACACAGGACCAGGGGCCUCAUUUAUAAAGGGAUAUACGCUCAAAAAAUGGCGUACGCCAGUUUCUACGCAAUGUUUGCGA